GUGAACGUUUUUAUAUGUAUAAUGUUUUAUACACUUUUUAACUGGUUGCACUACCCGUGAAGAAUUCAUGGGACAGCCACUGCUGAGUGACUAACAUGAUGCACAUAACCAAACGGGGCCAAUGGUACAAACUUUACUCAUCAUUUGAAUACAGUAUUUACAGAGGAUGUUUGAUUUGAGAGCUUUUUUAGGUUUGAGGAGCUUGGUUUUUUUUUUUUUUUUUGUAAAUAAAAUUAUGCUUUGUGGCUAUCCAUCAACAUAAGUAUAAAAAGAAAGAACACUUCAACUCCUUUCCCCAUCUAGAUUAUUUAUUAACAUAUUUCAAAAGUAAGGUUAGCUCUAUAAAUAAUUUAGAGAAGCGAGAGUAUUUAUUUUUGGUAUGAUUGGCCCACUGCACAGACUCUGUGUUUAUGUGUGUGUGUUUGUGUGAGAGAAAAAAACCUGUAGGGAAGAGGCGCGCUAUGACUAUUGCUCACAUACAUACAAACAGUUAUUUUAAAAUGGUCCACAAGAGGGGUGUCUAGUUUUCAGAGACACCUUCAGAAACUUUGCUCAGAGAACACAGAUGCCAUGGUUUGUGCAGAGAUGUGGUGGGAAAGGUAGAUCUUUUCACCUAUGGCUACUCCUGAGGUCCUGACAAGCCAGCACAAAGCUUUUCAGUUCCUCUGAGGCUGUCAUGAUGCCCACCUAGGCUUUCUGGUCAGUGUGCAGAUACUGCACGGGGGUUACAAGCCCUCAUGAGCUCAAGACAGCAGAGUCCUUCCUUCAAAAUUCAGCUUAGUGAGGGCUCGGGUCAGCUUCAGUAAGCUUCCUCUGAAGCACCUGAAGGUCGGGCCUUUAGAGCAGCUGUUCUCAACCUUUGUAGGUCAAAAAGACCCUUUCACAAGGGUCACUUAAGGCAUCGGAAAACACAGAUUCUUACAUUAUGGUCCAUAACAGUAGCAAAAUUACAGUUAUGAAGUAGAAAUGAAGUGAUGUUAUGGUUGGGUCAGUACAACAUGGACUGUAUUAAAGCUUCUGAGGCGUUAGGAAGGCUGAGAACCCCUACUCUAGAGCUAAGUGAAGGCAUUUCUAGGAUUUCCAAGUUUACUGUAAGAACAGGCUCAGGCACUGAAGCUCUGAGUCGCGUGAAUGAGGACGACAAUUUUGGAAUAGGUUUGGUUACACCUAUUUCUCAUCCCCUUACUUUCUACCAUUUUUCUUACGUAGGGGAAACAUUUUAAGAAAAUACACAUUUCUUACGACCGUAUGUUCACAUGGAUAAGACUAAGUCCAAAAGUGUGAAUACGUCCAAAUUUAUAUUUUGGGGAAAUACCAUGAGAUAUUAUAGCAUAUCGGGCAUGUUUCAUUGCUUUAUAAAUAAAAGGAGAAACUCU
rnacentral:lncRNA from 1 species